rnacentral:pre_miRNA from 1 species
UUAAUGCAAAUUUGUAUAGUGUUGGAACGUUUGCCGCUAGGGGCGCUGUUCCAACUGCAUAUAAAUUGGAGUUA